rnacentral:rRNA from 1 species
AAUAUUGGACAAUGGGGGCAACACUGAUCUAGCCAUGCCGCGUGUGUGAAGAAGGUCUUAGGUAANUCAAGAACUUUAAGUUGGGANAAAGGGCUUUAGGCUAAUACCCUGAAGUUUUGACGUGACGAACAGAAGAAGCACCGGCUAACUCUGUGACAGCAGUCGCGGUAAGACAGAGGGUGCAAGCGUUAAUCGGAAUUACGGGGCGUAAAGCGAGCGUAGUUAGUUCAAUAAGAUGGCUGUUACAUCCCCGGGCUUAACCUUUGAUCUGCUUUCCUAACUGCUGAGCUAGAGUACGGUAGAGGGUAGUGGAAUUUCCUGUGUAGCGGUGAAAUGCGUAGAUAUCGGAAGGAACACCAGUGGCGAAGACGACUACCUGGACUGAUACUGACACUGAGGUGCGAAAGCGUGGUGAGCAAAC